GAGGCUGUAGCUCAGUUGGGAGAGCGUCGCUCUGUCACAGCGAAGGUCGCGGGAUGAGACCCGUCAGCCUCG
rnacentral:tRNA from 1 species